rnacentral:rRNA from 1 species
GACGAACGCUGGCGGCGUGCUUAACACAUGCAAGUCGAACGGAAAGGCCCUGCUUGCAGGGUGCUCGAGUGGCGAACGGGUGAGUAACACGUGGGUGAUCUGCCCCUUACUUUGGGAUAAGCCUGGGAAACUGGGUCUAAUACUGGAUAGGACCAUGCUGUAGGUGGUGUGGUGGAAAGAUUAGUUUCGGUAAGGGAUGAGCUCGCGGCCUAUCAGCUUGUUGGUGGGGUAAUGGCCUACCAAGGCGUCGACGGGUAGCCGGCCUGAGAGGGUGGACGGCCACAUUGGGACUGAGAUACGGCCCAGACUCCUACGGGAGGCAGCAGUGGGGAAUAUUGCACAAUGGGCGCAAGGCUGAUGCAGCGACGCCGCGUGGGGGAUGACGGCCUUCGGGUUGUAAACUCCUUGCAGCCAUGACGAAGCCCUUGUGGUGACGGUAGUGGUAGAAGAAGCACCGGCUAACUACGUG